CAAAUCGAGUAUUCAUUUUUCAUCUCUCUUCUGCUCCUGCCUCUCUUCUUUUCCUCUCAUCCGAUGAAUCGAUGAACCCUGGUGAAACCAUUAGUUGAGAAACCAUCACAAAAAUCUCUUCAAUCUGUUCAAUAAUCUUCAAUCAUCGAUCUAUUUCGACUUGUAUCCCUUCCUUUAUUCUCUUUGAAGAGAGAGCAACUGCUGCGUUCUGUGUGUGAAUCGGUGGUUUCAUCAUCAUCUUCUUCUUAAAAGUCAAUCAGCAUCAUGUCUGACCGAUUGAAAGUUGCAAACCUAAAAAGUGCCGUCAAGAAUGCAAAAAGAGUUGCCCCGUUGUCAAGACUGGGAAAUUGUGUAUUGAAGUAAUGAUAGCUACAAAGGUUGCAUUCAUCUCUGAGGAGUUAUGUAUUGGAUGUGGUAUCUGUGUCAAGCCAUUCAGAUUAUCAACCUGCCUAAAGAUUUGGAUAAGGAUACAACACAUCGUUUCAGUCCUAAUACUUCAAGUUGCACAGGUAUCACAACGUUGAUUGGAGGUGGGACUGGUCCUGCUGAUGGAACUCGUGCAACUACAUGUACUCCUGGACCAGUACACUGAACACUGAAGGUGCAGGCGGCGGUCAUGCUCCAAAUAUCAUCGGAGUAUCUGGUGUAAUAAAUGUCUUGCCUUAAUCCACCAACCCAACUCGUCCUUAUAUACAGUAGAUGAGCACCUCGACAUGCUAGUAAGAAGAACACAAAAAUAAAAUUUUAUCUUUUUUUUCCUAAUUCUUUUUGUUUAUCUCUUAUUCUUUCGGCCUCUUAAACUGGUCUGAGUUUCAUAUACAUGGUUUCUCAUCAUCUUGAUAAGAAUAUCCUAGAAGACGUAUCAUCUGCUGAAUCUCGGAUAAGGGCUGAGACAAUUGCUGCAGAAGACAUUUUGCGUGAUCUGGGGGCCAUCAGUAUUAUUUCUUCUGAUUCGCAAGCUAUGGGUCGUAUUGGAGAGGUUAUGCAACGAACUAGAGCUGAAGGAGAUACAACUAUGAUGGAGAUAAUUGUUAUCGGUAAUUGAAGCUAGAAUGUUUGAGCUAAUGGGUUGUCAUGGUUGUUUGCAGUUCAGGUUAAGAAGUAGAGGGAAUGGUCAGUUGUGUGUAUGAUGCAGUUGGAAGGGCUUGAUUGAGUCUGAAAUCGGGUGACUGAGAUUAGCAUAAGAAGAAGCUUACUGAUAAUGGAAUCCAGAGUGUAUAUGAUGAUGUUGCAGUUGAGAUUGGUUGAUGUGUACAUUGGACCUUUUGAGAUUCUUGAAAGGGUUGGUGAAGUCGCGUAUCGCUUCGCUUUGCCACCGCAGUUAGCAGAUGUACAUAACGUGUUCCAUGUAUCGAUGCUACGAGAUACAAUGCAGACCCAGCACAUGUUAUUGAGUGGAGGGACUUGCAACUGAACGCCGAUAUCGGUUACGUUGGAAACCCAUUGGGGAUUGCUGGUACAAGGGAGCAUGUCCUCCGGACGAAAAGUAUUAAGAUGGUGAAAGUGGUAUGGCAACAUCAUACUCUCGAAGAAGAUACUUGGGAGCUUGAGUCCGACGUGAGAGACAAGUACCCGGAGCUACUUGAAGAGUACAAGAGGAGCUUGCAGCAGUAAGCUAGGAAGAGCGUACGGCAGGCCUUGAAAGCACAUAAAGUUAGUAAUUUGUUUGUUUUAUAUGUAUAUCACGGGGACGGUUCUGGGGUAGUAUGUUGGCUUGAUCCCAUUUUAUUAUGUUAUGUUUUGUUGUUUGUAUGUAUCUGGGUUCCCGUUUAAGACCUUCGCGCUGUUUGUAAAAAAAAUGGAUAACUAGGGGGGGUAGUGUCUUUUUGUUGGGUCUUACCUUGGGUGUGUACUGACUAGUUUGAAAUCCCUUUGUUGUGUAUACAUUUGUGCUUUAAAACGAUCUUAUAUGUACAUAUAACUAUCGCAUGGACUCCUGAUGCUGUGUUAUUAAGUAAUGGUUCUCUUUCGUA